CCUACGGGUGGCAGCAGUGAGGAAUAUUGGUCAAUGGGCGCGAGCCUGAACCAGCCAAGUCGCGUGAGGGAAGACGGUCCUAUGGAUUGUAAACCUCUUUUGUCGGGGAGCAAAAGACGCCACGCGUGGCGUUCCGAGAGUACCCGAAGAAAAAGCAUCGGCUAACUCCGUGCCAGCAGCCGCGGUAAUACGGAGGAUGCGAGCGUUAUCCGGAUUUAUUGGGGUUAACGGGUGCGCAAGCGGAAGAUCAAGUCAGCGGCUCAACCGUGGAAUUGCAGUUGAAACUGGAGGCCUUGAGUGCACACAGGGAUGCCGGAAUGCAUGGUGUAGCGGUGAAAUGCUGAGAUAUCAUGAAGAACUCCGAUCGCGAAGGCAAGUGUCCGGGGUGCAACUGACGCUGAGGCUCGAAAGUGCGGGUAUCAAACAGGAUUAGAUACCCCAGUAGUC
rnacentral:rRNA from 1 species